UGCCAGCCGCCGCGGUAAGACAGAGGGUGCGAACGUUGCUCGGAAUCACUGGGCGUAAAGCGCGUGUAGGCGGAUUUGUAAGUUGGGUGUGAAAUCCCUGGGCUCAACCCAGGAACUGCAUCCAAAACUACAUAUCUUGAGUGUCGGAGAGGGAAGUGGAAUUGCUGGUGUAGGGGUGAAAUCCGUAGAUAUCAGCAGGAACACCGGUGGCGAAGGCGGCUUCCUGGACGAUAACUGACGCUGAGACGCGAAAGCAUGGGGAGCAAACAGGAUUAGAUA
rnacentral:rRNA from 1 species